rnacentral:rRNA from 1 species
GACGAACGCUGGCGGCGUGCUUAACACAUGCAAGUCGAACGGAAAGGCCCCUUUGGGGGUACUCGAGUGGCGAACGGGUGAGUAACACGUGAGUAACCUGCCCUUGACUUCGGGAUAACUUCAGGAAACUGGGGCUAAUACCGGAUAGGAAUCCUUGCUGCAUGGUGGGGGUUGGAAAGCUUCGGCGGUUUUGGAUGGACUCGCGGCUUAUCAGCUUGUUGGUGGGGUAGUGGCUUACCAAGGCUUUGACGGGUAGCCGGCCUGAGAGGGCGACCGGCCACAUUGGGACUGAGAUACGGCCCAGACUCCUACGAGAGGCAGCAGUGGGGAAUAUUGCACAAUGGGCGGAAGCCUGAUGCAGCAACGCCGCGGGCGGGAUGACGGCCUUCGGGUUGUAAACCGCUUUCAGCAGGGGCGAAGCUUGUGGUGACGUUACCUGCAGAAGAAGCACCGGCUAACUACGUG